rnacentral:rRNA from 1 species
AUUGAACGCUGGCGGCAGGCUUAACACAUGCAAGUCGAGCGGAGAUGAGGUGCUUGCACCUUAUCUUAGCGGCGGACGGGUGAGUAAUGCUUAGGAAUCUGCCUAUUAGUGGGGGACAACAUUCCGAAAGGAAUGCUAAUACCGCAUACGUCCUACGGGAGAAAGCAGGGGAUCUUCGGACCUUGCGCUAAUAGAUGAGCCUAAGUCGGAUUAGCUAGUUGGUGGGGUGAAGGCCUACCAAGGCGACGAUCUGUAGCGGGCCUGAGAGGAUGAUCCGCCACACUGGGACUGGGACACGGCCCAGAGUCCUACGGGAGGCAGCAGUGGGGAAUAUUGGACAAUGGGGGGAACCCUGAUCCAGCCAUGCCGCGUGUGUGAAGAAGGCCUUAUGGUUGUAAAGCACUUUAAGCGAGGAGGAGGCUACUGAGACUAAUACUCUUGGAUAGUGGACGUUACUCGCAGAAUAAGCACCGACUAACUCUGUGCCAGCCGCCGCAGUAAUAC